GUGACAUAAUCCUUUCGCAGCUGGCCCCGGGUUGGAAGAGCGCGGACCAAGACGGUCUUCUCUGGGCACCCAGAAAGCUCCCGCCGCUUCCAAGACUCUCGGAAAGAGGGAGGCUCCGCGUGCGGGGAGAGGAGCGUUCCCGCUGCACUGUCACAGCCUGAUGCUCUCCAGGGAGAGGCCCAUCUUCUGGACUUGGCUCACACCCGCAGAGCUGACAGGGCCUUGGCGAGGGGAGUCGGAACAGGAGUGCGCAAGCUGAGCGGCUGCGGCCAGACAGAUGCAUCCGGAGAUUCAAGCCAGGCCAUCCAGUGAGCGAUCCCACAGUAAAGGCCCAUUUUUUAAUGAGAUUGCUCCCCCCGCUCACCGAGAGCUAUCAGCCAGAAACCCAACUGGUGCAACUGCUGUAUCUCAAGGCAUCUCCAGCCACCUCUUCUGCAGAUCCUUUAAUUGUGUCACGGAAGGCAAACUCAGCUCUGAGGAGGAGGCUCACACUUUACUGAAACAACAGUUGUUGCGUUCCAGCUUACAAAGGAAGAGGAACUGGGAACAAUAGAAAGUCUGGACACCCCAGGUUCCUUCAGCCGGUCUCCAAAGGGCACGUCCUCAAGUCUCUGCAUAAUCUUCACUGCCCUCCCCUGAACCUGUUCCAACCUGCCAAUAUUCCUGCAAAGAUAUGGUGCCCAGAAUCAUGCACGGUAUUCCGGGGUGAUCUCCUCAGUGCAGAGCAGAGAGGAAUAAGGACUUUGACACAAUGCCUCUUCUGAUGCAGCCCAGAAGGGUGGUAACCUCUCUAGCAGCUCUCUCACACUGUCGACUCAUGUUCAGUUUGUAGUCUAUGAUGUCCCUCUGAUGUACUGCUAUCAAGCAAUAAAUCGCCCAUCUUGUA